rnacentral:rRNA from 1 species
AUUGAACGCUGGCGGCAUGCCUUACACAUGCAAGUCGAACGGCAGCGCGGGGCAACCUGGCGGCGAGUGGCGAACGGGUGAGUAAUAUAUCGGAACGUACCCUGGAGUGGGGGAUAACGUAGCGAAAGUUACGCUAAUACCGCAUACGAUCUAAGGAUGAAAGUGGGGGCAUCGCAAGACCUCAUGCUCCUGGAGCGGCCGAUAUCUGAUUAGCUAGUUGGUGGGGUAAAGGCCUACCAAGGCAUCGAUCAGUAGCUGGUCUGAGAGGACGACCAGCCACACUGGAACUGAGACACGGUCCAGACUCCUACGGGAGGCAGCAGUGGGGAAUUUUGGACAAUGGGCGCAAGCCUGAUCCAGCAAUGCCGCGUGAGUGAAGAAGGCCUCGGGUUGUAAAGCUCUUUUGUCAGGGAAGAAACGGUGGAGGCUAAUAUCCUCUGCUAAUGACGGUACCUGAAGAAUAAGCACCGGCUAACUACGUGCCAGCAGCCGCGGUAAUACGUAGGGUGCAAGCGUUAAUCGGAAUUACUGGGCGUAAAGCGUGCGCAGGCGGUUAUGUAAGUCUGUCCUGAAAUCCCCGGGCUCAACCUGGGGAAUUGCGAUGGAGACUGCAAGGCUAGAAUCUGGCAGAGGGGGGUAGAAUUCCACGUGUAGCAGUGAAAUGCGUAGAGAUGUGGAGGAACACCGACGGCGAAGGCAGCCCCUGGGUCAAGAUUGACGCUCAUGCACGAAAGCCGUGGGGGAGCAAACAGGAUUAGAUACCC